GACGUAGGGCGCGAGCGUUGUCCGGAUUUAUUGGGCGUAAAGAGCUCGUAGGCGGCCUGUCGCGUCGGUUGUGAAAGCCCGGGGCUUAACCCCGGGUCUGCAGUCGAUACGGGCAGGCUAGAGUUCGGUAGGGGAGAUCGGAAUUCCUGGUGUAGCGGUGAAAUGCGCAGAUAUCAGGAGGAACACCGAUGGCGAAGGCAGGUCUCUGGGCCAUUACUGACACUGAGAAGCGAAAGCAUGGGGAGCGAACAGG
rnacentral:rRNA from 1 species